rnacentral:tRNA from 1 species
AUUAUUUUGGCAGAUUAGUGCAAAGGAUUUAGAAUCUUUAUAUGUAAAAUUUAUUACAAAUAAUA